GACGAACGCUGGCGGCGUGCUUAACACAUGCAAGUCGAACGGAAAGGCCCUGCUUUUGUGGGGUGCUCGAGUGGCGAACGGGUGAGUAACACGUGAGUAACCUGCCCUUGACUUUGGGAUAGCUUCAGGAAACUGGGGCUAAUACCGGAUAGGAGCUCCUGCUGCAUGGUGGGGGUUGGAAAGUUUCGGCGGUUGGAGAUGGACUCGCGGCUUAUCAGCUUGUUGGUGGGGUAGUGGCUUACCAAGGCUUUGACGGGUAGCCGGCCUGAGAGGGUGACCGGCCACAUUGGGACUGAGAUACGGCCCAGACUCCUACGGGAGGCAGCAGUGGGGAAUAUUGCACAAUGGGCGGAAGCCUGAUGCAGCAACGCCGCGUGCGGGAUGACGGCCUUCGGGUUGUAAACCGCUUUCGCCUGUGACGAAGCGUGAGUGACGGUAAUGGGUAAAGAAGCACCGGCUAACUACGUG
rnacentral:rRNA from 1 species